CGCGGAGCUUCAAUUGUGCGUGCUCAGAGGCAACGUACUCGAUUUUGAAACUCUUCCUGCUGGCAUCCUUGUCUCUCCUAUUUCCCCUCGAUUCAACGGAGACUGAAAUGGCAUUCUUCGAGCUGAAAGCGACCCUAAAUUCCUCGAUACUACGAUCAAGUUCCGUUUCGCAAAGAUCCUCCAAACGAAGCUUCCGCGCCGCAAUAUGAUUCACGAUCAAUAUGGCGAGGAAAAAUGAUGCGACAAUAGGGGGAGUUGGCUCAUCGCCUGGCGCAAAACCGCAGAUCAAGACAAUGCGGCGUAAUAACCGAAUCUCUUCUAUUUUCAGGUUGCAAGUAGGCUCUCUAACUCUGAAGUGGUCCUAAGUAUAUGCUUAUAUGGUUUGCAUUCCACUGUGAAGGUCGAGAUGACUAAUUUGGAGGGGCGAGGGGGGAGCAUGUAACAAUUUAUGCGAAAUGUUAGUUUCUGUAGAUCUGAUUGCUGUUUUGUUGGAUUUGUACGCACACUGAGCGUCUGGACAGACUUGAGCAUAGUAAUUGAAAGUUAAUUCUACCUUUGUAUGAAGUAAGAGAUGAGUUUCUUAUUCCAAAAUAUUUUACUAAAACUAAUUCAUUUGUAUGAAAUCCUGAGAAGAUUUAUUUUGAGUCACUGUUCACAGUCCUUGUUUAUUUACACCUUUAAAUAUUUUAUGGAAUUUUAUUAAUAAUGUCUGUAUGUGUAAUCUUGGGUGGAUGAAUAAUAGGGAUAAAUAAUGUACACACUGUGGGUUGCCAUCAAUUUAAUUUCUAUAUUCUUUACCAUAUUACACGGUAUGGAUGUAUUCAUAUAUAAAAAGAAUUACGCUUAAAUACCAAUUGAAGACGAAUGUACACAAUAAUAUACACGGAUUGGUUUUGCUAUUUUUUUUUAUACUUUUAUUACUUUUCCUUGACAUGAAGUCACAUUGAUCGUAUCGUGGUGGUCUGAGGCGUUUCACAAUUUAAUCGCUUACGAGUAUUGUCACUGUUGCAAUCAAUUUCACGACUCGUUGGCAAAGUAUAAAAUUA